rnacentral:rRNA from 1 species
CCUACGGGAGACAGCAGUGGGGAAUAUUGGGCAAUGGGCGCAAGCCUGACCCAGCAACGCCGCGUGAAGGAAGAAGGCUUUCGGGUUGUAAACUUCUUUUCUCAGGGACGAAGAAAGUGACGGUACCUGAGGAAUAAGCCACGGCUAACUACGUGACAGCAGCCGCGGUAAUACGUAGGUGGCAAGCGUUAUCCGGAUUUACUGGGUGUAAAGGGCGUGUAGGCGGGACUGCAAGUCAGAUGUGAAAACCACGGGCUCAACCUGUAGACUGCAUUUGAAACUGGAGUUCUUGAGUACUGGAGAGGCAGACGGAAUUCGUGGUGUAGCGGUGAAAUGCGUAGAUAUUAGGAGGAACACCAGUGGCGAAGGCAGUCUGCUGGACAGCAACUGACGCUGAGGCGCGAAAGCGUGGGGAGCAAACAGGAUUAGAUACCCGGGUAGUC